GUUUUGUUCUCUCUCCGCAUUCGUCACUAAUCACGUAACGCCAACGUAAUGACCCUGUCAGCCAGAACUGCUUUUGCGUAUGACAGACACCGGAAGUGAGAGAAAAGUGUUUAUUACCUUUGAAAUAUCCAUAAAAUAUGGAUAUUUUUCUUACAAAAAUGCAUGUAUUCACCCCCUGGAGCGGUGUGAGGCACGUUUUAUUAUAAAUGCGCUCGCUUUAUUUGAUGACUUGUGGAAUGUUCAACUGCAACACCUGCUGACUGUAAUGAUAGAGCUUGGAAUAGCCAGGACAAUUUUUUAUAUAACUCCGACUGGAUUCAUCUGAAAGAAGAAAGUCAUAUACACCUAGGAUGCUUCGAUGGUAUAAAGACCCCAGUUAUGCGCUUCUGCUUCACCCAAAGCUCAGAGGAACUACAGAAGAAGAGCUAUAACCACCCGCUGUGGCCAGAUAGCCUAGCCUUUCUUCCAUUCCAGCAAACCAAGUGGGAGAAACGUGAGGGAGGAUAAAGAGGCAAAGGGUCACGUCCCCCGAUUGGACCCUCCAUUCAUCACAAGUGUCAGGAUUGGACGGCGUGGACGUGGAGAGCUGCCCAUCAAUCUGGAGAGAAAGCAUCUGAAAGGACAGAUUUCUAUCUCCUUUCAUGGGUUACUAUGAGGGACCAAGCCAGAGAGAGCGAAAGAGCGAGAGACUAGUCCUAAAAAUUUACUGAGGUUAUCCUCGGGAGAUGCAGCCACAGACACAGACGAGAUGCGAUCAAUACGGCCAUUUAAAGAGAGAGUGUCAGUAUCCCUGAAGGAGGAGGACGACACAUACAAACACUGACGAAUGAUGCCAGCCACUCCAUUUACACGCAACACAGUCAGGAAACGCUCUCUCUAAUUACACCUAAUUGGGUUUUAACUGGGAAGUGCGGAAUUGCUUACUUCACGUUUUAAAUCCUCUCUUGGAAGUAAAAGCCCAUAAGGCCUUCAUAGCAACAAUACGUUUUACUGAAUCACACAGAAUCACAUACUGUACCUUCAUUUUCAAGUGCACCACCAAAAUAUAAGCCAGUGGCCAUUUUAACCUUCAUUCAGUGGAUUUCCUGAAGUCUCCUAUAUUUUUGGGAUGUUGUGUCAUGUUCAGAUAUAGUUAUAAAUAAAUGUUCUUGAUUUUUUUGUUAAAAGUGUAAAUUUAAAAAUAUAACCAAAAAAAAAAAAGUUUUGCUUAUAUAGCAAACAAGUAUUUAUCUAGUAUUAUAUAUAAAGAAUCUAUAAUUUUUUGCUUCUUGUACACUAUAAAUAAUAUAUAUAUAUAUAUAUAUAAUAAAAAAAACUACAGUUAACCAGAAAUAAUAAAAAUGCACAAGUGCAUCACAAAACUAUUAAAACUUCCUUAAAUUAAAAUCAAAACUGAAAAUUAAAGAUAAAAGCUAAUUUAAAAUAUGAAAAAAAUUAAAGCUUAAAGGGAUAGUUCAUCCAAAAGUGAAAAUUGUUAUAAUUUCUUGUGUUUUUUUUUUUUUCAAAACUGGAUGAGUUUCUUUGUUCUGUUAAACAUAAAAGAAGAAAUUUUGAGGUAUGUUGGCAUCCAAAUAGUUGCUGCUAACCAUUGACAGAUUCUACAGGGGGAAAGAAAAUAUUAUGGAAGUCAAUGGGGACCAGCAACUCUGGUAACCAACAUUCUUAGUUCCUAAAUCCUAACUGACACAGAAAGUCUGGGCUCAAAGAAAAUCUGAGAAAGACAUGGAAAAUUUUAGAAAAAUGAAAGCUUUCUUGGUAUUUUGGGAAAUAAAUAGAUUUACUGAUGCCAAGGCCAGCAAAGUAUUAAAGACCCGUGACGUCCUUUUGCUACACUCCCACCAGCGCAGUGAAAAAACAAGCUGUUAUUCAAAUAAAAAGAGAAGUUCCACCAGCAGAAAAAGAGACAGUAGCCCAGAAGAUUAAGAAAUAUCACACGCAUGUGUGGAAAAGAACUGCGGUGAGAUCAGGACUUUCAUCUGUUUGCUUGUGCAAAAGCUUAGGCAGCUUGCAUCAGACAUCCUGACACAGCGGCUCUGGAUCAUGACAGUCCAAUCACAUCCCUGACCUGGGUUCACUUCAUCUCUUCUGUCUCACUCUCGAUCUGCACUCUCACCUCUUCGGAAUCACUUUCAUUUCAGAAAACCCAAGGAGACGCUCAGCGUGAAUGAGGUGCGUAAUAUGAGGUUAAGUCAGUAAUGAUGGAACGGCAUUCAUCUCAACAGUCCUUGAGCAUUUGUUAUGUUUUCCCUCGCAUUCGGGUUCAGGACCCGGAAGGGUUUUGUCCAAAACAAGGGAGGAAUAUUCAAUGGAAAUAAAGUGAAAUGUGUUUGUAAAUGAACACCGCUUGAGGUCAAACAUUUGAUUUCUUUCUUCUCACGUAAGCACACCAGCCAAAUGUGUGUGUGGGAAAGAAAGAAAGAGAUAUUCUGUCAGAUCUCAGACCACUUACAGGUAAACUAGACAGUUGAAGUAGCAGUUUUAACCAAGAUAAACAGCUUUAAGAGGCUUUCUCAGUGUCGACAGAUCAGUAUCUGAUGUGGAAGUUCAGUCUCAGGUAAGCUGUCUUGGGUCGUCUGAUGAAUACUGCACACAGAAACGGCAAGAGGCUCCUCAAAGCGCCACGCUGAAACCUGAUUUACCGGCUUUACGCAAUGUUAGGUACGUUUACACAUUCUGAGCAUUUCUGAGAAGAACCAGUUACUGCAUUUGACAAAGUUUGCAAGGCUGGGUCUUCGAAAAACAUGUAAGUUCUGUUCGAGACAUGCUGAGACUUUGUAGCAUCUAAAUGAGAUAUUCAUGAGGCAAGGUUGGGCACAAUUUAAUUUAAUAACUGGUUCCCUUUUCAUUUCACAAGUGUAAAUUUGAAUUAAAAUGGCCACAGCACACAGGAAAUUCAAUUGGAAUAACAGGAACUUACUGCUGAUUCAACAUUCUUCUACAGUAGUGUCCUUCUGGUCCACAAAACUUAUAUAUAUAUAUAUUUUAUUUUAUUUUAAAGUAUGUUUUGUGGAUGCUAAUGCAAAUUAAUUAGCUAAUCUAAUUUUUAGUACUUUUGAUAUGUGCUUCUCUUUUUUAAAUAUUUCAGCAUUUUGGAAUGAACCUCUUAUCACCAAGAGGCUCAGGCAAACUGCCAUGUGCUGUGGUUCACUUCUUAUGUCUUGGUCUGGAUGAUUCUGCAUCAAGCGGUUGGUAAACGGCUGGUUGUAUCGUGAUAGCUGGACCUCAUGGUGUUGAUGAGGAUCUGGCCCUCUGAGGCAUGAUCGCCAGAGCAAAGGAAGCUGGAAAAAGAAGAUCUGUUAGCAAUUAAUCAGCAAAGCCUGAGGGCUCCUAAAGACAUUAAAAACCUGCUUUGAAAUUAUGAAACAAGUUGAACGUGUAGAGACUUGACUGAAGUUGCUAUAGUACUGAUUCUAAACAGCUGAAAUAACAGACAAACAACUUGACUGAUAAGAUAAUGGCAGGCAAAAACCUGUUAAUUGGUAAGUUCCUUUAUACUAUAUAUGUACUAAAACUAUUUAUGUACUAUAUAUGUACUUUUACUAAAAACUGUAAUAGAUCUAUC
ensembl:lncRNA